rnacentral:rRNA from 1 species
CAGGCGUCGAGCGGCGGACGGGUGAGUAACGCGUAGGAAUCUACCCAGUAGUGGGGGAUAGCCCGGGGAAACUCGGAUUAAUACCGCAUACGCCCCAAGGGGGAAAGCAGGGGAUCUUCGGACCUUGCGCCAUUGGAUGAGCCCAUGUCGGAUUAGCUGGUUGGUAGGGUAAAGGCCUACCAAGGCGACGAUCCGUAACUGGUCUGAGAGGAUGAUCAGUCACACCGGAACUGAGACACGGUCCGGACUCC